UUGGAUGUUCUUCAGAACUUGCUCCUCUGGAACAUAUAUCUUCUCAAGGGUUUUUCCAAUCUUCUUUUCCCAUAAGGAGACAAUUUCGUUGAAUGAGUAGGUGUUCUGAGGAGGCCUGAUGUAAAGGAUUUUGUUCAAGGUUCUAGGAUCAUCCGCAGCUUUAAUGGUAUAGGUGCCAAUGUCAUCCUCCUUGUUAAAAACAGCUGGAGAUGCAAAAAUGAAAUGAGUAAAAUAGAGUAGAAUCAUCUUCCUAUUCCUUCAAGCUUGGACUACUCCGUAAUUCCACUUUUUUUGUUUACAGAACACAAACUUGAAAUUAUUUUGAUAUGAAACCAAGUUAUUGUUUUCAUUUAAUGCUCAUGUCAAAAACUCUCAGCUGGAGAGCAACCCAAGAGGACUGUCAAUAUAAAAAAAGAGGCUUUAGCCCAUCCAGUUCAGAUAAUAAUGAUUAAUUACUAGAAGUGCACAAUGGUUCCUCAGUUUGACCACUCCAGGUCACAUGGAUCAUGCUAGUUUCCUGUAUUAUGGCUCAAUUGCAAUGUAGCACCCAAGCAGUCAACCUCAACUGUCGGAAGGUUUUGUUUCUGGGUGAACGGGUUUAACCAGCUGGGGAAAGGGGGAGUGGGGUGGGGUUGUCCAGGUUUCAAAUAGCCACAUUCUGAUUUUCAGGAAUAUAGACCAUUCUCACCUCAACAACGCUGGCAACCCCAUCAAUUUUUUUGCCUGGAGAAGGAUAAUAUGCAGCUAUUGGUUGGUGAAAUGGUAAAUUACACUCUCAAAAGGAUUCCAUGCUCAUCUACAUAACCCGCUGAUUAGUAUUACUUUUUAAGCCCACUAUCAUCAGAUGUCACUGAUACAUGGACCGGUGCAUUCUAACAUCAAAACGAGAAAAUGCAAUGGGAAAUUAAGUUGUAUGAUUUUCAGAGGUUGCUUACCUUUUGGAUUCCCAUCUCCUAAAAUAAUAACUUUAUCCCUGGGGGGAGCGGUGGCUCCAGGCUGUGAAAAUGUAGGAAGGAAAAAGCCAGCAAAUGUGUUGGAGGACACAUAGGUGUAGGGAAUUCCUUCAGCCUCAAUAGUGCGGCGGAUUUGAGCCUUUAUCUCAAAGGCUGUUUUUGCUGGCUCAACCGCAUGUACACGGUCCACAUCAUUUCCAAACUCUGAUGGGAAGAAUCUCUGGAUGAAAUAAAGCACUUUAAGAAGAAGCUGUAUAACUCAAUAGAUUGAAAAACGGGUCAUAUCUAUUUAGUCAUAUUAGCUCACGACAGGGAUCCUAUAUGGGAUACACUUUGACGAACUUGAUACAAGUGUUCAGCAACCAUAAAGACAUACAAUUAGCAAUUCAAACGAUGGAAGGAAAGAGUGCACUGAUCAGGAUUCUUAAAAAGUGAAAGAAAAAACCAUGUAAGAAAUGUGAAAAAAAAAACUACCAAACUUCAUUCAUAGAAGGAAAAUGCGCACUAAUCAGGAUGCUUAGAAGAUGGAAGAAUAAAAACUAAAUGAAAACAGGAGAAAAAAAAAAAAAAAAACUUCAUUCUUGUUUAGUUGUCUUGCUGCUUUUUGAAGCCUUUUGUAUACCAUUUGUCUACAUUGGGUGUGCUGUCUUUUUUUGUUAGGCGCUUCUCUGUUAAUAUAGUUUGUUUUUAGCCUAUCAAAAAAAGGGGGGGGGGGGGGUGGUGGUUGUGGGUGUAUACAAUGGAUUGGAAGUGGUAUAGCAUGCCCCAUGAAAGGGAAUUAGUAUUUAAAAUUUUUUCCUUUUUACAUCAAAAAUUAAGAUUGACUUUAAAGCAUCGAUCCAACCUGAGUCAAUGCACAUGGAUCUAGACAAGAAUCAAGAUUGUUGAUCCUCAAUGAAUAUUGUAUAUAUGGAAUGUUCUUUCAUGCACUUCCAACAUUUCUAAAGAAGGUAUUAUUACAUUAUGCACAAAGGAUAAAGAUAUCACCAACAAAUUAUAACAAAUUCCAAUAAUAAAUAUCAUAGUACUCGGAUUUGCAAAGAAAAGAGGGAAUUAGAAAGAAGAAAAGGAGAAAAGGAGAGAAAUUUCGUCAAUUUGGACAACUUUACCUUGACAUUUCCAGCUUCUUUGAUGGCAGCAAUGAUCUUGACUUGAUCCGACAACUGUGCGCGACCAACGGUCGAGAUGACCACAUCCACUAGAUUAAUCGCCUUCACCAAACUCUCGUGAUCGUAUAGAUCACCCUGCAACAUAACAUAACCAAUCAAUAAACUAUUUCAUAACCCUAAUUCCCCAGUUAAGAAGUAAGAAUCCAAAAGCAGGUGUGUUUUUUCACUUUACUGAAACCAAAAUAACUUAAAACAUAAACAUCCGAACUUUUCUUUUCCUGAGGAUCGCCACUUUUUUCUUUCUGGAUGAAUGAAGAAUUCCAGUUUUCGUUUUUUUAGGAACUUAAACAUCCAAAAAUUCAAGAACUCCAAUUAAUUUCAUUCAUUUUCUCGGCGGCCAAAAGAAGCAAAAAUUAGAAAACCAAGAAUAGCGAGAAAUGAGAGCGAAUAUUACGUACAUACACCAAAGUCACGCCGGAGCUCUUGAAAAUCUCAAUGAUUUCCGACUUGGAAGGAUUCGAAACGGCGGAUUCUCUGACGAGAGCGAAGGUAGGGUGACCGGACUUAGCGCUGGCAGCGACGAUGAAUUUUCCGAUGUAGCCAGUGCCGCCGAUUAUGAGAAUCUUGCUCUUUUCGGACAUUGUGAGCUUUUCCGGCGAAUCUCCCGCGAGAAAUGUGGAAUUGAGAGGACUAAGCGAAAGGUGACUGGAGAGUUGGUGGGCACCAACGGCCAAAGACAAUGCUCUUGUAGGACAGAGCUCGAGGAUAUUAGGAUUAUGUAAUUACGGAACUAGCCUUGUGUUUUGGUGGUAAUCUCCGUUUUGGUUAUAUUUUGAAUGUGGCUUGAUUUUUAUGUGAUUCAUGAAUGUGUCAAAGUUCGCUUGUUUGAAAAUUGGUUUAGAUUGGAAAGUGAAAAAGUGUAUAUCACAUGAGAGAUUUAUAAAUAGAAAAAAAUGUAUUUUCACACACUAAUGUAAAAAUAAUUACAAAAUAAAAACUCUUUAAAUAAUUAUAAAAUAAAAACCCUUUAAAAAUAAUUUAAAUUUUAUGCACUCAUCGAGUACAUGAAAUGAUAAUUUAAUAUAGUUAUGUGUAACGACCCGCUCUCCCAAUAAUGACUCCCCUAGCUUUAAAAAAACGUCUUUAGGAUUAAGAUUGAUACUAUUUAUAAUAACUCGUAAAACCUAAAAAGGUCAUCACGACUUUAAAAUGCGUUUGCAAGAUUAAAAAAAAAUAAAAAAAAUUAUACUUAGAUAGUGUUAGGAACUUUCUCCCCUAUCUGAUGUGUGAUGUUACAAAUAUCCCCCAUGCAGACACAACAUCCUUGUUGUAUCUCAUGGAAUUGUGGAAUUAGAAUGAUAAUUUAAUGUAAUUAUGUGUAACGAUCCACCCUAUUUGAUGUGGGAUGUCACAAAUAUCCUCAUGCAGACACAACGUCUUUGUUGUAUCUCAUGGAAUUGUGGAGUUAAAAUGAUAAUUUAAUGUAGUUAUGUGUAAUGACUCGUUGUCCCAAUCAUGUAGAUAUUAUUCGUUUUGGACCCAAAAAAUGACUUUCCUGACUUUAAAAAAACGUCUAUGUGAUUAAGAUUGAUAUCGUUUAUAAUAACUCGCAGAACCUAAAAAGGUCCCCACGACUUUAAAAUGUGUUUACAAGAUUUUUAAAAAAAAUUAUACUUAUAUAGUGUUAGGAACUUUCUCUCCAUAUGAUGUGAGAUGUCACAAACAUCCCUAUGCAGACACAACGUCCUUAUUAUAUCUCAUGGAAUUAUGGAGUCAAAUAGACAAACACUCCCUAUGAGGCAAACAAACUCCCACACCGAAAUCAGAGAUCAAUUCCGAUAUUAUUUGUAACGAUCUACUCUCAAUUAUAUAAAUAUUGUCCAUUUUAAUCCGAAAGGGCAUUACAGUUUUAAAACGUGUGUACAGGAUUAAGAAAAGCCUUUACAUAUACAGUGUCAUGAUUUUUUUUUUCCUAUCGGAUGUGAGAUGUCAUAUUAUGAAUCCGUCAUUCUGUCUUUAUUCAUUUGUUGCAUUUAAGAUAUUUGAAAAAUUGAGCGAUUUUAUAAAAUGAGUUUUGAAAAGGCAUGAGAGAAGGAAAAAGAUACUAGUUUAAUUAAGGCUUACAACCCGGUCUUCUUAAAGGGUGGUUAAAUUCCCUGCCUAUUAAAUUUCUUAUCAGGUCGUUAGUCAAUGGAUCUAUUAAAUUCUAGUAUGACUUUGUAGAGUAGUAAUUACUCCAUGGGUGAGUAAUUAUUAAUAUGUAGCUGGGAUCAUUAGUAUAUUUUACUACAUUUCCAAUAGAAAAUGCUACCUCAAAUAAGUUACAUGUCUCCGCGAGACACUCAAGAAUUUCAGCAUAUUCCAAGACUUGACUUCCAAGUUAGCCAAAAGACAUGGAUAUGAGAUUUCAAUUGAAAUGAUUAAACCUUUUUAGAAUGUUUUCACUAUAAUUUCAUCGGCACAAAAAAAUAAUUAUAAAACACUAAAAUCUCUUUUAAAAACAUGUCUUUUAUUUUUAAAUUUAAACACUUACUCAUCAUUUUUAUUAGGAAUGAUAAUGAGACAAGUUUUUUUAGAUAUUUGUCUGCCUUGUUCUUAAUGAAAUGGGUUUAAAAUUUAAAUAAACGAAAUUAGAAUGAAUUUGGGAUUUUUUUAAAAACUUGGUACUAGCUAUUGUCUUUUCUCAUCCUAUCUAAAUUAUAUAUAAAAUUAAUUUAGUUUUAUUUUUAUUUCCCUAUUUGAUAUAUAUAUAUAAUUAUUUAUAAAAUACAUUUAUUUUAAUGUAAUUAAAUUUAAAAAAAUCAAAAUAAAUAAAUAAAUAAGACGAGAUGGGCAUGAAAAAUUCACAUACCUACCUUAUUUAAUUUUUUAAAUAAGAUAGAAAUGAGAAUUAUUUUGAAUAAACAAGAUAAGGUUGAAAUGAGAUCAACUCGUCUUAAACUAGUCUCGUUGCUAUCUCUAUUUUUUAUACUUUUUUAGUUGAAAGGGAUAAAUGAAUUAAAGUUAAGGAUUAAGAUUAAAUAUUCUACUUUACAAAAAAAAAAAUGAGACUAUUAAAUAUUAUUAGAAUUUUAUCAACUAGUCAUAAGAGUUUAAAAAAGAAAAUAUUGAUGAACAAUUCGUAGGAGGAAAUGAAUUGAGAAUAAAUUGACCUAGUGAACCUUCAGUUGCAUUGCCUCCUACUAUGUUCCACUUAUUCAGAAACGAAAGAGAAAGGAUGAGGGAUCUAUAACUAUAAGUUAAAAGGACAAAGGAUCAGGACAAAUAGAGGAUAUAUAUUAUGAGAUAUUAUUUCUAAUAGAAUAUGAUAUUUUAAAAUAUUGCAUUUAAUAUCAUUUAGAAAUUCUUCUCUUAUUUUUAUUUUAAUAAAUAAUUUUUAGUAUUUUAGUAAUAAUGUUUAUGAUUAUAAAUAAUAUAUAUAUAUAUAAAAUUAUAUUAUAUACUAAUAUGCUAAAUAUUUAAAAGCAUUACUAGUAAUUAAAUGAUACUAUAUAUUAAUAUGAUCAUUAUAAAUUUUAUUAUACAUAUAUUUUUUAAUUCUUUUAUUAAGAAGAAUAAAUUUAUAAUGUCAGUUAUACCUUAGGAUUGUUGUAUUUAACAUAUAGAGAUACAAAAGCGAGGAAAAAUGCAAAAGAAACUAUGAUUGAGUUAUUCUAUCAUUUACCGACCAAACAUGAUACAAAAUAUAUUAUCUCAUCUUUUAUCUUAUAUUAUAUUAUAUUCAACAAACUAAACAUAACAUAAUAGACCGACAUUCUAUCAAAUUUCUCGUAUUGUGAUUUUAAAACUUGAAUAGUUCAUGAACUAAACAUUAUUGCCUUUUCUUGUCUCAAUGGAAUAAGCGUUUUAAUUGUUCUAUAUGCAUUUCUUCAUCAAGCUCCCUCUUUUGAGCUAGAAAUAUUAUAUUAGGAGCUAGGUACUCCUUUUUGUAUAGCUCCAUCUCUAAUAAGGUACCAAAGAAGAUAAACUACAAAGGCAAAGAAAAUCUAAUUCCAGAAACUUCUACUUGCAUAAGAUUAGAAAGGCACAUUGUCCUAUUACAGAAUAUGCCCAAUGGCAUAGACAAGGAAAUAACCCACUAUUUUCCACACAACAUAUAUUAAGACAGCUGCACAUGUUUGCUUGUUUAGAUAGUGCAGCAUGACAGUGAAAACUACCAGGACCGAAGUCUACCUCUCAAACAAGCUGGUUGAGCAACUCAUCCACAGUUGUGUAUUUGACAUCGGGAUAUAGCUCUGAAGCCUCCACCCCAAAUGAUGGCUCGAUCUCAAAGUUGGUUUGGUCUCCCUUAAUGAAAACAGAGUGAUCGAUUGAUAAUAUUGCAUUGAGUGGAGCAGAGGCUUCUGCAAGAAACAGAGGAAAACCCAUCAAUAUGAAGAUUUUAGCCAUCAGAUCAACUAUAUAAACAGAUUUUGGGGCGAAAAUAGCCUCUAUAACUGAAAAAUUAUCAUAUGUGGAUACCUUCUUUAACUUAUUAUCAAGCUAGGCCUCUUCAUGUCACCUUGGAGUCAUUUAAUUUAAUUUUUUCCUUUUUAAAUGUAAGUUGAAAAUGCAUUUUGAAAAGAGUGUUUGGACACACGAGUCAAAAUAAUUAUCAAAUUGUAAAAAUAACCCUUUUUUCAAUUUUGUUGAGAGAUCCCAGCAGUCAAAAUAAUCAUAUAAUCAAACCCAGUCUUUUUCUUCCCAACCUUUUUUUUUUUGGCCUUAUCUUAAACUUGCUCUAUUUCUUUUUCAUUUAAGACACUCCAGAAAAACUCAAUCUCAUUUCAUAAUGUCCCACUGAAUUUUCUUAUCUCUCAAACAACUUCUCAUUCUCAUUCGUGAUGUUCACCUAAAGUGUUCUAUGAUUAAAUUUUAUUUAUUACGAAUUUAACUAAGGUGAAAUUUUCAUUAAGAUUGGUUAGCUGAAUUGCACUAGUGUUAUGUUUGGUUGUAAAAAACUUAGUUAGAGUUAAAUUUUCAAUCAUAAUAGUAAUAUGAACUCCACUAUGGUUAAGUUUUAUUUACAAAAAACUUAAGUGGGGUUAGAUUUCUAUUUCAUCUACAAAGAACCUGAUUAUGGUAACUUGAACAAUCCUCUGGUUAAGUUUCAUUUAGAAAGAACUUGAUCAGGGUUAAGUUUCCAUUUCACCUAUAAAGAACUUAAGUAAGAUCAAGGUCUUAAUUAAAAUGUUCAUUUGCAUUGAACUACCAAAACAUCGGACUUAGUAAAAACAAAGUUAGAUGAGAGAUCUAGUAAAUGAUAAGUUUCUAUCUGAUCUCGUCGUCAACAUUGUAGAAGUUCAAAUGAAAUUGCAAAAUAACCCUAAUAAAAAAAAAAUUAGAAAAAACCUCUAACCAAAAACAAUGACAAAAAACAAAACUAAAAACAAAGAGAAAGACGAGAUUCGAUCUCAUUUUCGUCACUAUAGAAACUUACAUGAAACUACAAAAAACCUUAGCAAAAAACAACGACGAAAAACAAAGAGAGAUGGAGAUCUGACCUCAUCUUCUAUAUUGUAGAAGUUCAAAUGAAGUUGCAAAACCCCUAACAAAAAACAACUCCUAAAAUUUGAAAUAGAUAAGGCUCUAAUCUUUGUUCAAGGGUUUGAACUUCACCAGAAAAAGAGAUAGAACAUGAACUUAGAGAGAAGGAGAAGGCUAGGUAUAAAAAAAUGGAAGGGGCAUUUUUGGAGGAAAGAAAGAAGAGUAAAAAUGUCCAAAAUUGGUCAUUUCUCAAAGGGAAGUCAUUAUUUCGAUUUUAAAAGCAUUUUAGUCGACUUCAAUCGAGGUCCGGGGCAUGAUCACCAGAUUUUACCAGCAGGUCAGCUAACAUUUUCUAAGUUAAAAACAAUUUAACCAAGAACCAAUUUCAUUUUAACAAUCUAGCAUAAAGAGAAUGUUCUAUUCACAAUCUCUGUUCCAAUUUAAAUUCACUAGGAAAACCAAAACUUGAACACUUCCAAAAAGGAAAAUGUUUCUCACUAACCUUGGAUGUUCUUCAGAACUUGCUCCUCUGGAACGUAUAUCUUCUCAAGGGUUUUUCCAAUCUUCUUCUCCCACAAGGAGACAAUUUCGUUGUAUGAGUAGGUGUUCUGAGGAGGCCUGACGUAAAGGUUUUUGUUCAAGGUUCUAGGAUCAUCCACAGCUUUAAUAGUAUAGGUGCCAAUGUCAUCCUCCUUGUUAAAAACAGCUGGAGAUGCAAAAGUGAAAAUGAGUAAGAUAGAAUAGAAUCACCUUCUUAUUCCUUCAAGCUUAGACUACUCUGUAAUUCCACCUUUUUUCUUUUACAAAACACAAACUUAAAAUUAUUUUCAUAUGAAACCAAGUUAUUGUUUUCAUUUAAUGCUUAUUUUUUCAAAAACUCUCAGUUGGAAAGCAAACCCCAGAGAACUGUUGAUAAAAAAAAGAGGCUUUAGCCCAUCCUGUUCAGUUUAAAACCCAAUAAUAAUUAUUAGUUACUGGAAAUGCAUAAUGGUUCCUUCAGUUCAACCCCUCCAGGUCACCUGGAUCAUGCUAGUUUCCUGGAUUAUGGCUCAACUGCAGUGUCACACCCAAGCAGUUGACCCCAGCUGUCCGGUUUUCAAAUAGCCACAUUUUGGUUUUCAGGAAUACAGACCAUUCUCACCUCAACAACACUGGCAACCCCAUCAAAUUUUCUGCUUGGAGAAGAUAAUAUGCAGCUAGUGGUUGAUGAAUGCACAUUCAAAUAACCCAUUGAUUAGUAUUACCUUUUAAGCCCACUAUCAUCAGAUGUCAUUGAUCAUGGGAGCGAGUGCAUUCUAAGGUCAAAAGAAGAAAAUGAAACAGAAUUUCAGUUGUUUUACGAUUUUCAGAGGUUGCUUACCUUUUGGAUUACCAUCUCCUGGAAUAAUAAUUUUAUCCCUGGGGGGACCAGUGGCUCCAGGCUGUGAUAAUCUAGAAACGAAAAAGGCAGCGGUGGCUUCAAGCUGUGAUAAUCUAGGAAGGAAAAAGCCAGCAAAGAAGUUGGAGGACACGUAGGUGUAGGGAAUCCCUUCAGCCUCAAUAGCGCGGCGGAUUUGAGCCUUUAUCCCAAAUGCUGUUUUUGCAGGGCCAACCGCAUGGAUACGGUCCACAUCAUUUCCAAACUCUGAUGGGAAGAAUCUCUGGAGGAAAUAAAGCACUUUGAGAAGAAGUCAUAUGACUUGAUAGAUGAAAAACCACUCAUAUCUAUUUAGUCAUAAUAGCUCACAGACAGGGAUCAUCCAUGGGAUACACUAUGAUGAACUUGAUACAAGUGUUCAGCAAGAAUAAAGUUACACUUAGCAAUUCAAAUGAUGGAAGGAAGAAGUGCACCGAUCAGGAUGCUUAAAAAGUGAGAGAAAAAACUAAAUGGAGAAGGUGAAGAAAAAAGCUACCAAACUUCAUUCAUGAAAGGAAAAAGUGCACCAAUCAGGAUGCUUAAAAAGUGGAAGAAAAAACUAAAAGAAAAAAGGUAAAAAAAAAAAAAAAAAAAACCCACCAAACCUCAUUCUGUCCUGAAUCACUUCAGUUUUAAUUUUUAAUUUUUAAUUAUUUAAUUAGUGCUCAAAACAUUUGACACUAUUAAAUUAGUCAUUUGACAUAAUGUAUAUGAUGUUAUCCAAUACCCUAUGUUUGUUGCAUAAGUAUAGUCUCCUUACACAUGGGUUCAAUAAAUUGAGAAAAUGAAUAAACGGUGAAGUUUGAACAAAUGAUUUCCAACCAAAAAAAGGAUCUUAUGCCAUGUUGGACAACCGAUUUACCUAAAACUUAAGUUGUUAGGAUUUAAGCCCACGGUGUAUAUCAUGUUGCCCAUCAGUAUCUAUAUCCAACGAAAGGUCAAGAACCUCCUUGAAACGAUCCUAUUCUAACUUGCCCCUAGCUGCCAAACCCUCAAGGGCAUUAGCCUAAGGGCACAAAGUCAAUAUAGCUCAAGAACCUUCCUGAGAUGUUCCUAUUCCAGCUGACCCUAGCGGCUAGAUCUUCAAGGGCAUUAGCCUAAGGGUGCAAAGUAAAAACCAAGUUUGAGAACCUCCUUGAAAGGACCCGAUUAUAAUUGGUCCCUGGCAGCUAGGCCUUCAGGGACAGAGCAUAUGAGUGUAAAGCCAUUCCAGGACAAGAACCUCCUUAGAAGGACCCCAUCACAAUAGACCCCUAUUGGAGCCUAAGAACAAAAAAUGAAUAAUCAUAUGAAGAAAUAAUAAAACAAAGCAUAAAAGAUAGAAGAGAAGAUAAAAAUAACAAUAUCCUAUGCCACCUCAUUGUCCCCUCCUUCCUUGGAUGAUGCCUCGCUUUUAUCAUUGUCCUCCUCAUCGAUUUCCCCCAAGGCCUUCAUUCGACCCAUGAGCUUGUCGACUUUCAAAAAAUGCUCUUGCAUUAUUGAACCUUAUGAAUAAAAUUAUCUUUUACCACUGUCCACAAAUGAUUUUUUUUUUAAAAGAAUGGCUUUGUCUUAGAGUUCUAUCCUUUUCUUUCUGUUUCUCAUGGAUAAAAAAAACCCCAACCCAAAUAUUUUUUUAUAACAAGGAUAAUUUUUUAUACCUAAAGAAUUAAAAUCGACUUUCAAACACCUAAGCGUUGAGACUCAACUCAAUCCAACCUCAGUCAAUUAACAUGGAUCCAGCAAGAAAAGAUUGUUCAUCCUCAAUGAAUAUUGUGAAGAUGGAAUGUUCUUCCAUGCCUUUUCAACACUCUCAACAUUUCUAAAGAUGGUAUUACUACAUCAUGCGCAAAGGAUAAAGGAAUUACCGACAAAUUAUUACAAAUUCCAAUAAUAAAAAUCAUAGGAACUUGUAUUUGCAAAGAAGAGAUGGAAAUAGAAAGAAGAAAAGGAGAGGAAGAGAUUUCGUCAAUUUGGACGACUUUACCUUGACAUUUCCAGCUUCUUUGAUGGCGGCAAUGAUCUUGACUUGAUCCGAGAACUGUGCGCGACCAACGGUCGAGAUGACCACAUCCACUUGCUUAAUCGCCUUCACCAAACUCUCGUGAUCGUGUAGAUCUCCCUGCAACAUAACAGAACCAAUCAAAAAACUAUUUCAAAGCUGUAAUUCUUCAAUAAGAAGUAAGAAUUCAAAAAUUGGUGUGUGUUUCCACUUUGCUGGAACCAAAGCAAAUCAAAACAUAAACAUCCAAAAUUUUCUUUUCUUUUCCUGCGAAACACUACUUUUUCUUUCUUUCUGGAUGAGUGAAGAGUCUCAGUUUUCUUUUUCUUAGGAACUUAAACUUCCAACUCCAAUGAACUUCGUUCAUUUUCUCCGCGGCCAAAAGAAACAAAAACUAGAAAAGAAAAAAUGGCGAGAAAUGAGAGCGAACAGUACGUACAUAUACCAAAGUCACGCCGGAACUCUUGAAACUCUCAAUGAUUUCCGACAUGGAAGGAUUCGAAACGGUGGAUUCUCUGACGAGAGCGAAGGUAGGGUGACCGGACCUAGCGCUGGCAGCGACGAUGAAUUUUCCGAUGUAUCCAGUGCCGCCGAUGAUGAGAAUCUUGCUCUUUUCGGACAUUGUGAGUUUUUCCGACCAAUCUCCGGCAAGAAAUGUGGAAUUGGAAAAGGCUAGCAAGCAGUAAGCAAUGACGACUGACGAGUAGUGCAGUACUGCAGUGUUCUUAUAUAACAAAGCUUGAGGCUAUAUAGAUUAUGUAAUUACGAAACUAGCCUUUUCUUUCAGCAGUAAUUCCCGCUUUGGUCAUCAUAUGUAUGUGGCUCGAUCUUUGUAUGAUUCACGUGUCCCGAUUCAUAUUUGUUUGAAAAUCGGCUUAGAUUAGUCCAAUUUACAAGACUACACCAUCUUUAAUUUGACAAGAGCAUAUAAUAUAUAUAUAUAUUGUAGCAAUCAUUAAUAUUUUAUUUUAUUUUUGGCACGUGUAAUUUUAUCUCUAGCUCCCAUAUCUUAUUUUAUUGCACACUUUUGACUCCGUUUGGCCAUAUUGAUAUAUAUCAUAGAUUUGCCUUAGAUUUUGGUUAAUAAAAUUUUAAUCAUUAUUGCACGUUUUUAUUCUCCACCCAUGUUUAAUAGUAUAUUUUAGAGACUUAUCGUGGAUAACCACCCCUUCACCUCUCCUACUGAAUUGUCAUUUGAUAUUGCUUGGGGAUCCCACAGAGUUGUCUAGUUGAUAGGUUGAUAAAAUUUACAUGCACGGUCAUUUUCAUGUCCUUAAAGCAAAUACAAAUUAAAAUGUGAUCGAUUGAUGCUAAGAUUUGAAUUUAUCUAUUUAAUAUAAAAUUGUCAUGGUCAAAUGUUUAUUGCUACUCCACGAUAGAAUGAUGAUUUUUAUUUUUGUGACAGUAACAUUUCAAAUUAUAAAAAACAAUGAAUUAAACAAUAUUUUUAUAUUCUUUACAAAAUCUUGGAUGUUUAAAAUUAGACCCUUUAAAUAGACACGUGACUUAAAUGGAAUACCAUAUUUGGGAAUGCACUACACUUAACUUGGAUUGGAAUAUAAUUCAAAAUGGAUAACAAUUAGGAAUGCACCAUGCUUAUUUGGAAUUAAGGGAGAGAGGGAUGACUGUUGGAAUCAUGAAAUGUUAUGGAACGGACCCCUUUUUAAAGAUGUAGAUGUCCCUUAAAGAAACGCUUCCAUCAAAAGAGUUGCACCUAACUAAUAAGAGAUGGGAAUGACUUCCAAAAAAUGUAUCACUUCAUGUUGGUGGCCUUUUUAUUAAACCUAGAAGCAUGUGGGGUUAGGCUCACACAUAUCUGGUGUGGCUUGUGCACAUGUGAGCCUAUGUUAGGCCCAAGUCCACAUUCAUCUAGUUGGAUAUAUGCAUAUGUGAGUUUAUGUAAAAACCCAUGUUUUCUUUUAAGCUUACAAAAUACUUGUAAAGUACCUUUUCGACUAGUGAUCUUCUAAGAAACGCUUCCAUCAAAAGAGUUGCACCUAUCUAAUAAGAAAUGGAAAAGGCGUCUAAAGAAGAUCUCACUUUAUGUUGUUGGUGACCUUUUUUCAAUGUUUUUAAAAUUGGACCGAUUAUUAAAUAUAAAAAAAUUACUCAUUCACGGUUCAUUAAUCGGACUGACAGUUGAACCAGUAACGUCAUAAAUAUAUAAUUUAUAAAUUAUUAAAAUAAAAAUAAAAAUGUAUGUAUUGUUUAAAAAUUAAAAUUUUAUUUGAAAAUCAGAAAAUUAGUUUUAAAAUUAAAAUUAAAAUUAAAAUCAUGGGGGGGAGGGGGAGGGGAGGGGGUUCGUUCUGCCAGUGAGAGAGCGACGUCCGACCAAUCAGCAAUUGACGAUAGUGGGAAGAAGCAGCUAGGGUAGUAGGGUAAGAGGGGUUAUUGGAAAAAAUAAUAAUAAUAAAAGAAAGGUUGAACGGUUCAAUGGUCAAAUCGUCGGUUCAAUCGGUCUAAUUCUGGUUUGACUACUUUUCGACCUAAUUCAUCAAACCAAACCGAAAUUGUGACUUGCUGGUUCGAUCCAAUUUUUAAAACCGUGUAUUUUUAUUAAACCUAAAAGGUGGGUGUAGGAUCACACCUAUCCAAUGUGGCUUGUGCACACGUGAGCCUAUGUUACGCCCAUGUACACAUUCAUCCAAUUAGGUCCAUGCAUAUGUGAGUUGAGGUUAAAAACCAUGUUUUCUUUUUACCUUACAAAAUACUUAUAAAGUACUUUUUCUGACUACUAAUCUUCUAAUGUGGGAUUGCUUUUUUCCACCACAUUCCACAUGAAUGCAUAGGUAACUUUGAGCUCAAUUUGUCAUUAACCCAUAAAUGGUUUUGAGUAUGUAAAUUUCUUAUCCACCAAUACCUACUCGUGCAGACGUUAUUGGUUAUCAUUUGGAGAAAGGUGUCCAACCUAUUGAUUGUUGUAAUUUAGAUUGUCCCAAUUCUAAUAGUUGUGGUUUUAAGGCCUAGAAUUGUUUCGUUGAUUCUCAUCUUAACCCUUCUCUUUAUUCAAUGACUUCCCUUGAAAGUAUUAUUUGAUGAUCUCCUAUCAGGGGGUUGGUCUCUUUCUUAUCUUCUCUUCUUUUUAAAUAGUCCAUUACCUUAUCAUGCAAUUCUUUAAAUGAGAUAGCAGUAUCACAAGCUCUCACAACAACAGUGGUCUCUUUGUAUUUUGAACCUAAUUCAUUGAGAGUGUAAACCACCAGAUCAUCAUUGUGCAAGAGUGAACUAAUAAUAGUAAGUUCAUCAACAAUACUUUCGAAGAUUUGGAUGUAUUCACUAAUAGUUUUUUGUUCUUUGAUCGUUUUUAUAGCCUUUCCCAUGAGGUUAGGAUGCAUGACCUUGAGUAAUUGGCAUUAAGUUUUUUUGGGUGAGACCAUGACUCUAAUGCCUUAGUAGCACAAACCACAAAACAAAAAUAGACUCCAAACUACAAUCUAACAUGAGAUGAAAUAACAAAUUAUUUUAAGGUUAAUUUUGUUGACUUUCCAUGAGGUUUUGACUAAAUAUAUUUAGUUCAUAUUAGUUUGAAAUUUCAUCAAAUACCUCCUCUACCCUUCUCACAAAUUAUUUCACUUACCUGUCUUCUAACUCAAAAUAAAGGAAGUAUUUGACGAUAUUUUAAAUUUAUAAAAACUAGGUAUAUUUAACCAAAACUUGAGGGAAAGUAAGUGAAAUUAACCUAAUUAUCUUACUUUUAAUAUAGCCAAUAUUCCAUAUCUCGUAUUGGUACUUUCCUUCUCCUUUCAAAUUGUUGUAGAAGGGCAAAGAUAUGACCGUUGUUACAUGUGCUAAAUCAUAGUAGUAUAUAAAGAAGCAUGCGGAACUAAACUCUUCACAAUGGAAAGUUUUUAAUCGUAGUUACAUCACUACAUCAAUCAACUCUGUGGUGCUAAUUUGGUAAAAUGUCAAAAGACUUUGACCCAUUAAAGGUAAAAAAGAAUAAAAAUAAAAAUUUGUUGUAGCAAUGGAUACUCUAAAACCAUAAAUACAAAGAAUUUAUAUAACCUAUCACUCGUAUUAUUUUACAUUGUAUAAGUUUACAAUAGAAAUGAUCGACUAAAUAUACAUUGGUAAUAUUAUAGCUUAGGGUCAAAUGUCAUGCGUUAUGAAUGUAAAGAAAAAUUGAACUUGAUGAUUUGGUUGAGCCUUUAUUUGCCAUUAAUAUAUGCCUUUAUGGACUGUCCACUGUAAAUUCCUUUCACUCCUCUCAUUGAAGAAUGAAACUCCACACUUUAUUCAAGUUUAAAAUGUUUUCUUGCAUAUUAAGGAGGAAAUUAAAAAAUAAAUAAAUAAAUAAAGGAAAGGAAAAUGAUCCGUUAAAAAACUAUAUUAUGAAUGUUAGAUAUCUUAAAAAACAAAAAAAUAUAUAUUUGUAGACCCCAUUUUGGGGAGCUGUCAUUUUUCUCACGUUUCCUUUCUUGCAGCUAGCUGUGGCCAAGUGUCACCAUCUUGCAUGGCCACGUGUCACUCCCGGAUUAGUCAAUAUGGGAUCAAAAUAGUGGAAUUGAUGGACCCAUCAGAGGAAGACACCUGGAAAGUGAAGAACAUUCUGGAAUCAGGGGAGCGUAUCUUCUGUUAUGGGAAGGUUGCCAGCUGCAGGAGUAGAGGAGUGGAGGCUGGUUGCUGCAGAGAGAGUGGAGGCUGGCAGAGGAGUGGAGGAGAGGUUUUGCUUUUGAAAAGGCCGUUAGAGAUAUUUUUAGGAUGAGGCAGCGGCAUUGAAGGGGAGAGUUUGGAGAGAUUCUUGAGGAGCAAGCUAGAUAUUGAAAAGAGAGAACGAGACAGAGAGAGCUGCAUUGAGAGGGAGGGAUUUCUUUUAAGCUGAGGCUGGUUGCUGCAGAGAGAGUGGAGGCUGGCAGAGGAGUUUUGGAGAGAAAGAGAAGGGUUUUUGGAGAGAAAGAGAAGGGGUUUUGGAGAGAAAGAGAAGGGUUUUUGGAGAGAAAGAGAAGGAGUUUUGGAGGGAACAGAGAGCUAGAGGGGGAGGAAAAACACUAGGAAGAAAAACAGAGAAAUCAGAAGAGACGGUUUUGGGUAGAGGAGGUUAUCAAGAACCAGAAGAAAAGGGCCUCCAGGUUCUUUUUGAGGGGUAAGUUUUCCACUGUGUUCUUGUUCUUUCUUUUUCUCUUCAUAUAUUGUUGUUGAGAUGCAUUGUUGUUGAUCUUUGGAUGGGUUAUACUCUGUUCUUCAUGGUUGACUGCUCCCCUUUUGCUUCUGUUUAUGGCUGAAAAUUGAUUUAAAUCCAUUUUUACCUUCUUUGUGGCAUUUUAAAGAAAGAAAAAGACCUUUUAAUUCACCCAUCUGCAAACCCACUAAUGAAGAGGUGAAGCAUAGUUCUUCAUGCUUCAUCUCAUUUUUCUUCCUCCAUGGCUCUGUUUUUGCUACUUUUCUCUCUGCUCUUCGUGUUUGGACUUUCUUGGAUAUGAAGCCGUAAUGGGGAGUGAGGCUAUGGGAUGACGAGACAGUGAGGGAUUUGGACUCCUUGAAUCCGUUUAUCCUGUAAAGGCUACUAAGGGCUUGGUAGAUCAAUGUUUGAGCAUAUGAACAGAGAGUGGUCUACACCGGGGAUACCAUUAUUGCCAGUGAUCCGUGUGGCAGAGGUUAGUGGGCUGUAGAGAGGGGAUCCUUUCUGACGGAGCAAAGGAACAAGAGAUGAAUUCAUGGGUUUUCUGAAUUGUUUUCACUAAGAAGGAGUUCACCCAGUACUCUUAGGCCUAAGAAGCUCGGCAUUUCUUUGCAAACAUAAGAAGCACAGGCUGGAACUAUGGAGGCCAUAGGUUUUACAUGGUAAAAAAGUGGGUUGACUGAGGAAUUGAGAAAGAAAUAAAGCAAGCAAAGCCGUCAUCGAAUGACGCCGGCGGCGAAGCGCCUCCACUUUGACUACGUCGUGCCCUCAGUUAUCGACUCUAACCACCGCUUCUCUAGUCUACGCGUGUCGCCGGAAGACUUGACGCUGAUCGUUUCUCUGCCUCUCUUUAUUUUCGGCUCUGUCAGGGGUCGAAACUCAUCCUCCGCUGGCGAUUGCGACGAGUGUCUCUCCUAGCUUAAGCCUCACGAUCAGCUUCGGCUGUUCCUGAUCUGCCGUCACGCUUCCCAUGCUCUAUACAUCAACACGCUGCUGGCAUCCAGUCAGGCAUGUCCUUGUAUCGUGUUCCGCAGGGAAUUCUGGGCCUGAUCUGCUCACUGUGGUGAGUGUCGCGCCAUGGAUUUUAACUGAUGGUGUCCCGACGAUUGACAAGAAGUUUUCCGGUGGAUGUGGUUCUUGGCGACGGAAGAAUCUUCGGUGGUGUGUCUAUGUACUUCGGCGAUCCUCUAAAGGACACUAAUCUCCCCAUUAGUUUACGCUGGUGACUGUGGAAGCAGAUUCCGCUUCAUCGGAAAACCCAAUCCUUCUCAAGUGCCUGGAAAAGCAGUCAUUUGUGAUCGGAACUUCACCUCGGCGCCCAAAGUCGCAGCGUUCUCCAACUGGUUUAGACAUCGACGAGAGACAAGUUGAUUUUAAUAUAAUUUCUGGCACGUCCAUUGCAUGUCCGUACGUGAGUGGAAAUAGCGACUGUGGCAGUGUACCCAAACGGCUUCACCACUCUCAAGCAUGAUGCUCUGAGAGUUGAAUUGAAAUGGAGGGGCGUUCUCAUAUUGCAAUUGUUGUUCCUAGAACUGAUGAGUCAAUCAGUAAAUUGGUUCAGCAACCUCAGAAGUUAAUAGAUCUCCGUGAGGUUCGCGAUAUUACUCAUAUGCCAUUUGCAGAAAGAGAUGACUGAAGGGAAACGGGUUCCUCUGAAUAUUACUAAAUUUGAUUAUGAAUGUUUGAGAAAGACCGCUGACAGUCAAGCAUAUUAAGGGGAUCCAUAUAAAGAAUUGUGGGUGUCCUUUGUUGACCGAGUUGGUCUUAGUCACAGAUAUCCUCAUCCAUGGCUGCUGAUAUAUCUCCUAAUUCUUCUUGAUGCUGCGGAAGAUAUUGUUGAAAUAGGAAAAACUGGGUGGAGAGAUCAAUUGUUACUCUGAUUUGAUUUUGGAUUGAAAAGGGAUGGGUUCAUUCAUGGAGCAUGUUCUGCCAGGAACGCUGUUUCUAGCAGUGAGUUUGUGGCACAUAUGCAGCGCAGUGGUGAGAUUUGUGAUGAACCCAAAGGGGUUUCAGGUUCGGGUUUUGAACCCAGUGUCUGGUUUUGAUGGAAGGCUUAGAUACUUGGAGCUUUAUGUGGUGGCAAUCGGAGCUUUUAUUGAUAUGUGCAUAGAGUUUUUGUAUUCAACUCAUCUCAAGUUCUUUGUGAAUGGGGUCUUGAACCCAUCUCACACGAAUGACUUUGAGCACUCUGGGAUGCUUCUCAUGUUCUUUAUUUUCGGGGUCGUCGCCUUGUUCUCCCAGCAAACCGGGCUUGUUCAAAACUGAAUAACCAAUGCUCAAUAGCCUUCACAUAGCUCCAUUCUGCCCUCACAUACUUCCAGCGCGUGACUUGUUUGAAUGAGAGCGACUUUUAUUGCCAAACAGUUACUUGGGGAACCGGUGACGUUACUCCUAUUGCAGGAUUGCUUGGCAAAUCUCAAUUCCAGAUUCACUUAGGAGGGAUCCUUGGCUGCUAAUUGGAAGGCUUCAAGACAGAAGGAAGCGAAGAGUGAUGAUACCAGGGAAGUGACUCAAUUAUCUACUCUACACUUGCCCGCUCAUGGCCCCAAAAUCUCAGAAGUGGUCAAGAAGUUGGAAGACUGCAUGUUCUGAAAUUGACCUAGCCUUUCAAAUCGGGUUCCCUACAUUGAAAUAAGAAGCAGUAGCAUGAGUUAUCCUCCAGAAUGGCUCUAUUCUCUGCAUGGUGCAUGGCCACCUUUGGGCCACAGUGCCAUUUCCCAUUUCACCAUCUCUAAUUUUGAAAAAUAUUCUUUUAAAUCCCAUUCUUCAAAUAAUUUUCUAGAUUUUAGUUUGUUUUAAAAUAAUUUCAAACUCGUCCACUUUUCAUCUUUAGUUUCUUUUUCUUAGAUUCCAAAAAUCCAUUUUUCCAAUAAAAUUUUGCUACCACUUUUCUUCCUAGCAAGCCAUUUUCAUAUCUCUUCUGUUUUUUUUAAAUUGUUUUGAAAUAAGCAAGAAUUAAUUCCGUAAUUCCGAAUAAUGGAAUUUAUGGAAUUAAUUCAUGCUAAGAUAAAUGGGCUUUGGUGGGGGCCCAACAUAUGAGAUUUUAUGAUUGAUUGACUGAUUGAUUGAUUCAUUAGCUAUAUGUGAUUGAUUUAUUCUGUUCCUUGGUAUACACAUUAUCCUUCUGUGUUUGUUCACUAACCCUGUUUCUGAUAGCACGUUACGGCUCGUGGCCCCGGUACGCACUCUCUAUACCUAUUCUGUUUCUCAUAUGUGCAUAAUUGAUUCGAGUAUUCAUUGCUUUCCUCAUCAAUUGCCACAUCAGCUUCAUUUUAUUAGUAGAGACCCGAUUUUAGGGACUUAGAGGGGUGCUAUGGUCUUUACCGUACCUUCCCGAUAAGUAACCUGACCCCCGAACCCGAUCCGGUUUUUCGUAGAUCACCUUUUCCAAAUAAGGAGUCACACUUAGGGUUUUUCUUUCUUAUUUUGUUUACCCUUUUAAAAAUAAAACAAAAAUACAGCUAAAAUCGAGCUCGCCAUUGAGUGGGAAACGCAUUGAGAUAGAUCGAAAUGCGGGGUCCACAACGCGUUCUUUUAUUCUCUUUAGUUUUAUAAAAAAGAUGGUAAAAAUGUAGUGAUCUUCUUUUAGUUUCUGUUUUAUAAGUGAGAGGGGACUAAGAUAGUAUUUAUUUUUUGACUGAAUAUAAAAAAUCAAAAUAUAUACAAAUUUACUUUAAUUAUAUUGGACGAUGUUAAUAGGUUACUUUUAGCUAAAUAAAAAAAAAAUCAAAACCUUAGAAAAAUAUUUUAAGUUUUAUUUACUCAAAUCAAUGUUUCCAAAAAUAUCCUUAUUGUCAAAACUGACUUAAAUGAAAAAUAAAUAAAAAAAUAUAAGCAAAAAACAAUUUAAUAGUUUUUAAAAAUAUUAUUAAAUCAUCAUUUGGUUCCCUUUUAUUCUGUCACUUUAAUUCUUUAAAACUAAAUUUAAUUCUUUUAUAACAAUAGAACAUAGGGGCCUAAGGUUGGAAAAUGACAAUUUACCCUAUUUGAAAAAAGAAAAAUUAUAUAUUCAUUUCUAGCCAAAAACAACUUUAUAUGUAAUUGUCAUUUUUUAUCAACCCCCACCGCUGAUGCAAAAGCCUUAACCUUGAAUGGAAUUUUAAUUUCAAAGACAUUUAGCACAUAGGAUAAAAAUUGUGCAUUUCAAUGAUCAAAGCUUCAUAUCUUAAAAGGUAGGUAAAUUUUAAAAUUCAACUAAGUUAUGUCUUCAAAAGACAAUAUUUAAUUGGAUUCUUUCGAGGUGUCAUAGAAUUAGAAAUAUUUUUUGAAUUAUUAUAUUUUAAAAAAUAUAUUUUUUUAAAUUGCCUUACUUUGUUCAAAAUGCCAAGAAGCAGGCAUAGGAACUAUAACAAAGCUCCAUCUCUAUUAGGGUACCAGAGAGGAUGAAUUGAAAAGGCUAGGAAAAUCUAAUUCCAGAAACUUCUACUUGCAUAAGAUACAGAGUGACUACAGAAUAUGCUCAAUGGCAUAGACAAGGAGGCCACACAUGCUUGCUUAUUUAGAUGGUGCAACAUGACAAUGAAAACUAGCAGGACCAGAAAUUACCUCUCACACAAACUGGUCAAGGUACUCAUCCACAGUUGUGUAUUUGACAUCGGGAUAUAGCUCUGAAGCCUCCACUCCAAAUGAUGGCUUGAUCUCAAAGUUGGUGUGGUCUCCCUUAAUGAAAACAGAGUGACUGAUAGAUAAUAUCACAUUGAGUGGAAAAGAGGCUUCUGCAAGAAACACAGGAAAAGCCAUUAAUUUGAAGAUAUUUGUCAUCAUUAAGAUUAUGUUUGGUUUCCAAAAAAUUUGAGGGAAAAUGCAAGAAAAGAAAAUAGAGAGGAAAAGUGGAAAGAAAAAAAAAGAAAAAAAAUAAAAAAAAUGGAUUCAAAAUCAAUAAAUUAUUUUUAAAUGCUAUUUCAAACUCAUUUCACCCAUUUCCCCCUAUUAUAUAAAGAUUAAACAAUUUUAAAAUGUAUAAAUUUUUAAUUAAUUUUAAUUAUAAUUUAUUUUCUUUCAUAUUUUCUAUAAUGAAACCAAGCAUGAGAAAACUAUUUUCUUUAAUAUUUUUUUUAUUUCCUUAAUACUUUCCGAGAGCCAAACAUAGUCUAAAAGAUCAACUAUAUAAACAGGGGCCAAAAAAUGGCCUCAAUGGUAAAAAAAUUAUCCUAUGUAGGAACCUUCCCAAACUUAUUUUUCAAACUAGAACUCUUGAUGCCAUCUACGCCCCAUUUUUAUUUUAUUUUUUUCCUUUUUAGUCAUAAGUUGAAAAUGCAUUUCUGAUUUUAUAAAGAAGUCAAAUUUUGAGCAAUGGUUUGAAACAUGACCCAAACUCAAUAUUAUUUGACCAAAACAGGCCUUUUUUUUAUCCAAAAUUCAUAUAAACACGUAAUGCUUGCAAGUUCAACCAACUCCUCUUUCUUUCUUUUCUUUUAUUCCCUUCAUUUUUCAAAUCCAUUGAGCAACUGCAAAUUGUUAGUCUGUCAUAUGAAUCUCUAAGGAAGACCCUAAUUGAGGUCUGGGGCACGAUCAAAUGAUUUUACCAGCAGGCCACCUAAUAUUUUCUAAGUUAAAACAAUUGAAUCAAGAACCAAUUUCAUUUUAACAAGGUAGCAUAACGAGAAUGUUUCAUUCCCAAUCUCUAUUCCAAUUUAAAUUAACUAGGAAAACCAAAGUAUGAACACUUUUAAAAAAAGAAAAUAUUUCUCACUAACCUUGGAUGUUCUUCAGAACUUGCUCCUCUGGAACAUAAAUCUUCUCAAGGGUUUUUCCAAUCUUCUUUUCCCAUAAGGAGAGAAUUUCGUUGAAUGAGUAGGUGUUCUGAGGAGGCCUGAUGUAAAGGAUUUUGUUCAAGGCUCUAGGAUCAUCCGCAGCUUUAAUAGUAUAGGUGCCAAUGUCAUCCUCCUUGUUAAAAACAGCUGGAGAUGCAAAAAUGAAAUGAGUAAAAUAAAGUAGAAUCAUCUUCUCAUUCCUUCAAGCUUGGACUACUUGGAAAUUCCACUUUUUUUGUUUGAAGAACACAAACUUGAAAUUAUUUUGAUGUGAAACCAAGUUAUUCUUUUUCAUUUAAUGCUUAUGUCAAAAACUCUCAGCUGGAAAGCAACCCAAGAGGACUGUCAAUAUAAAAAAGAGGCUUUAGCCCAUCCAGUUCAGUUUAAAAUCAAAUAAUAAUGAUUAAUUACUAAAAAUGCAUAAUGGUCCCUUCAGUUCAACCACUCCAGGCCACAUGGAUCAUGCUAGUUUCCUGGAUUAUGGCUCACUUGUAAUGUAGCACCCAAGCAGUUGACCUCAACUGUUGGAAGGUUUUGUUUCUGGGUGAACAGGUUUAACCAGCUGGGGAAGGGGGGAGUGGAGAGGGGUUGUCCAGGUUUCAAAUAGCCACAUUCUGAUUUUCAGGAAUACGGACCAUUCUCACCUCAACAACACUGGCAAACCCAUCAAUUUUUCUGCCUGGAGAAGAUAAUAUGCAGCUAUUGGUUGGUGAAAUGGUAAAUUAACACUCUCAAAAGGAUCCCAUGCUCAUUUACAUAACCCACUGAUUAGUAUUACUUUUUAAGCCCACUAUCAUCAGAUGUCACUGAUUAUAUGAGCCAGUGCAUUCUAACAUCAAAAGGAGAAAAUGCAAUGGGAAAUUCAGUUGUUGGAUGAUUUUCAGAGGUUGCUUACCUUUUGGAUUCCCAUCUCCCAAAAUAAUAACUUUAUCCCUGGGGGGAGCGGUGGCUCCAGGCUGUGAUAAUGUAGGAAGGAAAAAGCCAGCAAAGAAGUUGGAGGACACAUAG
rnacentral:lncRNA from 1 species